UUGCUGCUAAAUUUUGCAUUUUUGUUUCCCCUAAUGAAUGUCUCAGCUUCCAUCACACACAUAGCAAUCAUCAGACCCAAAGCUGAGAGUCUUCAUUUCUGCAUAAAUUUCUUUCAUACUUUACAUUCACUUAUCAUUCACUGUCCCUCGCUCUCUCAAGGGCACCCAACCCUUGCAGCUGAUGAAAGGCAACAAAACUGCAAAAACACCAAUGAAUUUGCGAUUGAGACAUGAUUGUAUAAAAGAAGGUAGUGGUGAGAGGAUUUAGUCUCACCUUUAUGUCAACACGCAUGCCAGAAAGAAAGCUACAAGAAAAUCACAAGCAAUGCUUAUUUUCUAAGAGCUAUAUUACUUCAACAUAGAUGUGAAUGCCAUAUAUGUCAGAAUGGCAAUCGUUAGAUUUUUUAAAAAAAACAUUCAUGUAUUUGAUGGAUUCUUGAAAAUUAAAUUUGUACAUAUGUUAAAUAUGAACCAGAUACUUCUAUAUAUAUAUAAGUCGGAGCCAUUCGGUUUGUGGCACAUUCUUCCCA